rnacentral:rRNA from 1 species
ACUCCUACGGGAGGCAGCAGUGGGGAAUAUUGCACAAUGGGCGCAAGCCUGAUGCAGCCAUGCCGCGUGUGUGAAGAAGGCCUUCGGGUUGUAAAGCACUUUCAGUCGUGAGGAAGGUGAGUAGUAGUUAACUAGCUUAGCUNAUAUUUUGAACGUUAGCGAACAAGAAGAAGCACCGGCUAACUCCGUGCCAGCAGCCGCGGUAAUACGGAGGGUGCGAGCGUUAAUCGGAAUUACUGGGCGUAAAGCGCAUGCAGGUGGUUUGUUAAGUCAGAUGUGAAAGCCCGGGGCUCAACCUCGGAAUUGCAUUUGAAACUGGCAGACUAGAGUACUGUAGAGGGGGGUAGAAUUUCAGGUGUAGCGGUGAAAAUGCGUAGAGAUCUGAAGGAAUACCGGUGGCGAAGGCGGCCCCCUGGACAGAUACUGACACUCAGAUGCGAAAGCGUGGGGAGCAAACAGGAUUAGAUACCCUGGUAGCUACGAGU